rnacentral:rRNA from 1 species
UACAGAGGUCUCAAGCGUUGUUCGGAUUCAUUGGGCGUAAAGGGUGCGUAGGUGGCGGGGUAAGUCAGGUGUGAAAUUUCGGAGCUCAACUCCGAAACUGCAUUUGAUACUGCCUUGCUUGAGGACUGGAGAGGAGACUGGAAUUCACGGUGUAGCAGUGAAAUGCGUAGAUAUCGUGAGGAAGACCAGUGGCGAAGGCGGGUCUCUGGACAGUUCCUGACACUGAGGAGCGAAAGCAUGGGUAGCGAACAGG